rnacentral:rRNA from 1 species
UUGGCGAUAUCAGCCGAAGAAGGACGCGGUAAGCUGCGAUAAGCUACGGAGAGGUGCAAGCAACCUUUGACCCGUAGAUUUCCGAAUGGGGGAACCCGGCAGUGGUUAUGCACUGUCACCCAUACCUUUGAGUAUGAGGAGGGCACCUGGGGAACUGAAACAUCUAAUUACCCAGAGGAAAAGUAAUCAAACGAGAUUUUCUUAGUAGCGGCGAGCGAACGGGAAAGAGGCCAAACCGGAGCGGGCAACCGCACCGGGGUUGAGGACAGUCAUCAAGUGUAAAUGAGGUAGAAGAAUCGAGUUGGAAAGCUCAGCCGAAGAAGGUGAAAGCCCUGUAAUCGAAACCUUGCAUACACGGGACUGUAUCCAGAGUACCACGAGACACGUGAAACCUUGUGGGAAGCAGGGGGGACCACCCUCCAAGCCAAAAUACUGAUAUCGACCGAUAGCGCAUAGUACCGUGAGGGAAAGGUGAAAAGAACCCCUGGCGGGGAGUGAAAGAGAACCUGAAACCGUAUGUCUACAAACAGUCGAAGUCUGUAUAUAUAUCAGGACGACGGCGUGCCUAUUGAAGAAUGAACCGACGAGUUACUGUUGCUAGCGAGGUUAAGUGGAAGACACGGAGCCGCAGCGAAAGCGAGUCUGAACAGGGCGUUCAGUUAGUAAUAGUAGACCCGAAACCGUAGUGAUCUAUCCAUGGCCAGGUUGAAGCACAGGUAAAAUUGUGUGGAGGACCGAACUCGUGAGCGUUGAAAAGCUUUGGGAUGAGUUGUGGAUAGGGGUGAAAUGCCAAUCGAACACGGAGAUAGCUGGUUCUCCCCGAAAUAGCUUUAGGGCUAGCCUCGAGGUUGAGAGUAUAGGCGGUAGAGCACUGAUCGGGCUAGGGGCCAUACCGGUUACCGAACCUAGUCAAACUACGAAUGGCUAUACUUAUACUCGGGAGUCAGACAGUGAAUGAUAAGGUCCAUUGUCAAGAGGGAAACAGCCCAGAACACCGACUAAGGUCCCAAAUGUUACACUAAGUGGCGAAGGAUGUGGAAUUUCCAAAACAACCAGGAUGUUGGCUUAGAAGCAGCCACCAUUUAAAGAGUGCGUAAUAGCUCACUGGUCGAGAGACUCUGCGCCGAAAAUGUCCGGGGCUAAAGUGUAAAACCGAAGUCGUGUCAUAUGCAGCAAUGUAUAUGGGUAGGGGAGCGUUCUCAUUGGGUUGAAGCAGUACCGUAAGGAGUUGUGGACUGAUGAGAAGUGAGAAUGUCGGUAUGAGUAGCGAAAAGAAUGGUGAGAAUCCAUUCCACCGAAAGCCUAAGGGUUCCUGAGCAACGAUCGUCGUCUCAGGGUAAGUCGGGACCUAAGCCGAGGCGGAAAAGCGUAGGCGAUGGACAACAGGUUGAAAUUCCUGUACCGGUGUGAAUCGUUUGAUCGAUGGAGUGACACAGUAAGGUAGGUCAGCACGCGAUUGGAAGUGCGUGUUUAAGCAUGUAGGUUGAGUUAUAGGCAAAUCCGUAGCUCUAAAAGCUGAGAUGUGAUGACGAGUUACUAGCGAUAGUAACGAAGUGAUUGAUCCUACACUGUCGAGAAAAGCUUCUAGCCUCCGUAACUUCGGGAAAAGGAGGACUCAUGUAGUGUGAAGUGCAGCAACGCAUGGAGCAUGAAUGAGUGGCACAAGAGAGGCGCAAGCGACUGUUUACCACAAACACAGGUGCCUGCUAAAGCGAAAGCUGAUGUAUAGGUGCUGACACCUGCCCGGUGCUGGAAGGUUAAGAGGAGGGGUUAGACUUCGGUCGAAGCUCUGAAUUGAAGCCCCAGUAAACGGCGGCCGUAACUAUAACGGUCCUAAGGUAGCGAAAUUCCUUGUCGGGUAAGUUCCGACCCGCACGAAAGGUGUAACGACUUGCGCACUGUCUCAACGAGGGACCCGGUGAAAUUGAAGUACCUGUGAAGAUGCAGGUUACCCGCGACUGGACAGAAAGACCCCAUGGAGCUUUACUGCAACCUAAGAUUGAACUUAGUUAAUGAAUGUACAGGAUAGGUGGGAGACGUAGAACCUAGGACGCCAGUUUUAGGGGAGUCAUUGUUGGGAUACCACCCUUUCAUUAAUUGAUUUCUAACGGGCCGAGUAACGACCGGCCGGACAGUCUUAGGCGGGCAGUUUGACUGGGGCGGUCGCCUCCUAAAGAGUAACGGAGGCGCCCAAAGGUUCCCUCAGAGCGGACGGAAAUCGCUCGAAGAGUGUAAAGGCAGAAGGGAGCUUGACUGCGAGACGGACAGGUCGAGCAGGGACGAAAGUCGGGCUUAGUGAUCCGGUGGUGCCGAGUGGAAGGGCCAUCGCUCAACGGAUAAAAGCUACCCUGGGGAUAACAGGCUAAUCUCUCCCAAGAGUCCAUAUCGACGGGGAGGUUUGGCACCUCGAUGUCGGCUCAUCACAUCCUGGGGCUGAAGUAGGUCCCAAGGGUUCGGCUGUUCGCCGAUUAAAGUGGUACGUGAGCUGGGUUCAGAACGUCGUGAGACAGUUCGGUCCCUAUCCAUCGCGGGCGCAAGAAACUUGAAGGGGGCUGCUCCUAGUACGAGAGGACCGGAGUGGACGAACCGCUGGUGUACCAAUUAUCCUGCCAAGGGUACAGUUGGGUAGCUACGUUCGGGACGGAUAAACGCUGAAAGCAUCUAAGCGUGAAACCAGCCUUGAGAUGAGGUUUCUCAUAGCAUAAGCUAGUAAGAUCCCAUGUAGACGACAUGGUUGAUAGGCCAGGUGUGGAAGAGCCGUGAGGUUUGGAGCUGACUGGUACUAAUAGAUCGAGGGCUUUACUUA